rnacentral:rRNA from 1 species
CCCUUAGAUGUUCUGGGCCGCACGCGUGCUACACUGAGUAAAUCAAUGGGUAAGGGAACACGAAAGUGCAACCUAAUCUUCAAAUUUGCUCGUGAUGGGGAUCGACGGUUGCAAUUUUCCGUCGUGAACGAGGAAUACCUUGUAGGCGCGUGUCAUCAUCACGCGCCGAAUACGUCCCUGCCCUUUGUACACACCGCCCGUCGCUCCUACCGAUUGGAUGGUCCGGUGAAGCCUCGGGAUUGUGGUUCUUGCCGCUUUAUUGUGGCGUGACCGCGAGAACUUGUCUAAACCUUAUCAUCUAGAGGAAGGUGAAGUCGUAACA